CCCCGACUAGCUCAGUUGGUAGAGUAUGAGACUCCUAAUCUCAGGAUAGUGGGGUUUGUGUCCCAUGUUGGGCA
rnacentral:tRNA from 1 species